UUUAUCUAUGGGGAGCCGAAGGCGAGCCAAAGGUAUGUUAUGUGGGAAUUGUUAAGGCGUAUAAAACCUCUUGGGUCGGGUCCAUGGUUUAUGGCUGGUGACUUUAAUGAGGCUAUGUGGCAAGAUGAGCAUUUUUCUUGGAUCAAACGGUCACCAAAACUUAUGGCUAAUUUUCGUGAGAUCAUGUCUGAAUGCAACUUGUUUGAUUUGGGUUUUCAUGGAGUUCCUUGGACCUAUAACAAUAAGCAGGAAGGUAACAAGAAUGUGAAGGUGCGGCUGGACCGGGCGGUGGCGUGCCCCCAAUGGUCAUCUAUCUUUCCUGACUGCAAGGUAACGCAUAUUAUCAGUUCCAGGUCAGAUCAUUGCCCUCUUCUUAUUGAAUUGAUGGGAGCUCCUCGUUCUGGCACAUUUAUUAAACAUUUGAAAUAUGAAGCGUAUUGGGAGAGGGAAGAUGCGGAGCUGCAAGUACAGAUUGAUUCGUGUUGGAAUAAUAAUGCUAGAGUCAAUAAUCUGGGAGAUGUUGCCAAUAAUCUGGACAAGUUGAUGAAGUCUCUUCAUGGGUGGAGUCAGGUUCACAUUGGAUAUUUGCCAAAAAAACUUGAAUCUGCUCGCAAAAGACUAAGUGUGUUGUUUAACAGAAGUGAUCAUAAAGCAAUAGUAGAAAGGAAGAAAAUUUUAAAGGAAAUGGAUGAGCUCCUGUUAAAGGAAGAAAUUAUGUGGAAGCAGAGAUCAUGUCUGAAUAAAAUGAAAUGGGGAGAUAGGAACACAAAAAAAAUUCAUAGGAAGGCCACUUGGAGAGCGAAGAAAAAUAAUAUUUCUGCCAUCAAAAGAAGAGAUGGGUCUCUCUCUCAGGAUAUGGAUGAAAUAAAAGGUAUCACUAAUGAUUUUUUCAAGAAUCUUUAUUCCUGUGAUUCUGUGGUUAAUCCGUCCCGUAUCAUUUCUCUUGUGAAACCAUUGGUGACU
rnacentral:rRNA from 1 species